UACAGAGGUCUCAAGCGUUGUUCGGAUUCAUUGGGCGUAAAGGGCGCGUAGGCGGUUUGCACAGUCAGACGUGAAAUUCCUGGGCUCAACCUGGGGGCUGCGUUUGAUACGUGCAGGCUUGAGUUCGGAAGAGGGUCGUGGAAUUCCCAGUGUAGAGGUGAAAUUCGUAGAUAUUGGGAAGAACACCGGUGGCGAAGGCGGCGACCUGGUCCGAUACUGACGCUGAGGCGCGAAAGCGUGGGGAGCGAACAGG
rnacentral:rRNA from 1 species